rnacentral:rRNA from 1 species
GGAGGGACGGUGUUCCGGAAUAUUGGGCGUAAGCGCGCGCAGGCGGUUUCUUAAGUCUGAUGUGAAAGCCCCCGGCUCAACCGGGGAGGGUCAUUGGAAACUGGGGAACUUGAGUGCAGAAGAGGAGAGUGGAAUUCCACGUGUAGCGGUGAAAUGCGUAGAGAUGUGGAGGAACACCAGUGGCGAAGGCGACUCUCUGGUCUGUAACUGACGCUGAGGCGCGAAAGCGUGGGGAGCGAACAGGAUUAGAUACCCUGGUAGUCCACGCCGUAAACGAUGAGUGCUAAGUGUUAGAGGGUUUCCGCCCUUUAGUGCUGCAGCAAACGCAUUAAGCACUCCGCCUGGGGAGUACGGUCGCAAGACUGAAACUCAAAGGAAUUGACGGGGGCCCGCACAAGCGGUGGAGCAUGUGGUUUAAUUCGAAGCAACGCGAAGAACCUUACCAGGUCUUGACAUCCUCUGACAACCCUAGAGAUAGGGCUUCCCCUUCGGGGGCAGAGUGACAGGUGGUGCAUGGUUGUCGUCAGCUCGUGUCGUGAGAUGUUGGGUUAAGUCCCGCAACGAGCGCAACCCUUGAUCUUAGUUGCCAGCAUUCAGUUGGGCACUCUAAGGUGACUGCCGGUGACAAACCGGAGGAAGGUGGGGAUGACGUCAAAUCAUCAUGCCCCUUAUGACCUGGGCUACACACGUGCUACAAUGGGCAGAACAAAGGGCAGCGAAGCCGCGAGGCUAAGCCAAUCCCACAAAUCUGUUCUCAGUUCGGAUCGCAGUCUGCAACUCGACUGCGUGAAGCUGGAAUCGCUAGUAAUCGCGGAUCAGCAUGCCCGGGGGGAAAAACCUUUCCCGGGGCCUUUGUACACACCCGCCCGGUCAAACCAACGAGAAGUUUGUAACACCCCGAAGUCCGGUGAAGGUAACCUUUUUGGAGCCAACCCCCCCAAAGUGGGACAGAUAAUUGGGUGAUCAAUAG